AUGGAGCUGAAAUCAGUCGAAGAUACCAGCUGGCUGCAACUGUUUAUUAAAAACACAGCACUGUGCAAACACGAAAGUGGACGUAUACGGUGUGACGCCUGCCCGGUGCCGGAAGGUUAAUUGAUGGGGUUAUCCGUAAGGAGAAGCUCUUGAUCGAAGCCCCGGUAAACGGCGGCCGUAACUAUAACGGUCCUAAGGUAGCGAAAUUCCUUGUCGGGUAAGUUCCGACCUGCACGAAUGGCGUAAUGAUGGCCAGGCUGUCUCCACCCGAGACUCAGUGAAAUUGAACUCGCUGUGAAGAUGCAGUGUACCCGCGGCAAGACGGAAAGACCCCGUGAACCUUUACUAUAGCUUGACACUGAACACUGGUCCUUGAUGUGUAGGAUAGGUGGGAGGCUUUGAAGUGUGGACGCCAGUCUGCAUGGAGCCAUCCUUGAAAUACCACCCUUUAAUGGCUGGUGUUCUAACGUGGACCCGUAAUCCGGGUUGCGGACAGUGUCUGGUGGGUAGUUUGACUGGGGCGGUCUCCUCCUAAAGAGUAACGGAGGAGCACGAAGGUUAGCUAAUCCUGGUCGGACAUCAGGAGGUUAGUGCAAAGGCAUAAGCUAGCUUGACUGCGAGAGUGACGGCUCGAGCAGGUGCGAAAGCAGGUCUUAGUGAUCCGGUGGUUCUGAAUGGAAGGGCCAUCGCUCAACGGAUAAAAGGUACUCCGGGGAUAACAGGCUGAUACCGCCCAAGAGUUCAUAUCGACGGCGGUGUUUGGCACCUCGAUGUCGGCUCAUCACAUCCUGGGGCUGAAGUAGGUCCCAAGGGUAUGGCUGUUCGCCAUUUAAAGUGGUACGCGAGCUGGGUUUAGAACGUCGUGAGACAGUUCGGUCCCUAUCUGCCGUGGGCGCUGGAGAAUUGAGGGGGGCUGCUCCUAGUACGAGAGGACCGGAGUGGACGCAUCACUGGUGUUCGGGUUGUCAUGCCAAUGGCAUUGCCCGGUAGCUAAAUGCGGAAGAGAUAAGUGCUGAAAGCAUCUAAGCACGAAACUUGCCCCG
rnacentral:rRNA from 1 species